rnacentral:lncRNA from 10 species
AUCCCUACCUUUUUUGUUGGAGAAUGAAAUUUAAAAUGAAGAUUUGGGCACUCAUUGGUUGUACACAUUGUUACUGGUGAACGUGUUGAUUGGAGGCCUUCCUAGCUAACAGAGCAAAGAGUUUGGAAUAGUUCACCAGUGAAGUCAUCUCAACCAGCACAGGGCCUUGACUCCUAACAACAAUCACACGAACUUGGAAGAGGAGCCUUCCCCAGCUGAACCUUCACUUGAGACCUCAUCCUUGGCCAUCAUCUACAUCUGGAUUCAUGAUACAGAGAAACCAUAUAAUUUAGCAGGACUCCAACAAACAGACCAGAAUUUAUUGAGAGCUUGCAGUGAGGAGUGUCUUAAUUCGAACACGACUAUGUUGACAACACAUCCUCUUGUGAGUGAAGCAUUCAUACAGAAUGAGUCGCUGAAACUCAAUAACACAUGUCUACUGUACAAGAAAGUGAGUACUGAUGACACUAGCAGUCCAGCCUGCAUGGAUGCUGACAUGGAUGCUGUCUCCCAUUCUUACCACUGGAUGUGAAGAAAUGCUAGAUGCAAUCCAUCCAAUCUGUACUCGACUCUCAAUUGCAUCUUCUCAACUCACAGUGACUUCCAAAGUCCAUGACACACCACAGCCUGGAACAUCUCCCAAGGCUUUGAAUAACACACCAGUGAAGUCAUCUUGACCUGGACAGAAAUUGAAUCCUCCCAAGAAUCCCAGGAGCUUGGAAGGGGAUCCUUCCCCAGAUGAGCCUUCCCUUGAAAUCUCUGCCAGGCAUCUGACCUAGAGAAACUGCCACACCACUUUACAGAGGAACACCAGGGAUCUUCCAGGAACCAUGCCCACAAAGCUUACUAAGCCAUGGGACUGCAUACUACACUCCCAAGGACAUCCACAAAGUCAAGACUCUUGCUUUUUCAGACUGUGAUCAUGGGCUACAUUCUCCAUACCAUGUUCAUAGCUUCAGCGAGAAAACAAACUCCUGCAUCCUGGAGACCUACAGUGAGAGACACAGCUGACCUUGAACAUAUUUCUCACUUCUGAGAAGAUUAUAGCAGUAACUCAGGUGCUAUUAUUUGGGGCAUUUAUAAUUCAGUAAACCUUCUUACUCCUCUAGUCUUACAAUUCACCCCAUAGGAAAGGAUGGUUUCAUUUAAAUUGGCAAUCUUAAGUCAUGGAGGUUUGCUCUUUUUAUUUCAUUAUAACAGGAGUUUCUAUAAGGUAAGUGACUUGUACAAUCCCAUUUUCCUCUUCAUUUCAAUGCAUAUAUAUGGUCUAUUAUGAUGUGUACUGUUAAGAUCAUCCAUGACCAAAUUCUUCAGGAAAAAAAAAAUCACCAAGUGGCAGGCCAUGAGGGAGACAGAAGUAGAUGUGUAGAAGGACAGACUCAUCCGUAGGUGGCAAGAGGGUUGAGGAGCUCUGAGUGCUCAGGGUUAAGACUGGAAAAGUGAUUAGACAUGAAACUCUGCUACCAUAAUGUCCCAGGCACAGAGGACACAGUGCUGAGCACUAAGCUCCUAAACAUUACCAUGAGUCUGGAUUGGCUGAGUCUGGAUUGGCCACCAGAAUUCUCAGAAAGAUGCCAUUGAAAACACCCCAUCAUCCAACCACUUCCUUAGGCAAGAACCCAGUGCUGUCUCUGCCCUCUAGUCUGAAUACUGAAUCAAGUUUAAAGGGU